rnacentral:rRNA from 1 species
CAGUCGCCGCGGGAAAACGAAGGGGGCUAGCGUUGUUCGGAUUUACUGGGCGUAAAGCGCACGUAGGCGGACUUUUAAGUCAGGGGUGAAAUCCCGGGGCUCAACCCCGGAACUGCCUUUGAUACUGGAAGUCUUGAGUAUGGUAGAGGUGAGUGGAAUUCCGAGUGUAGAGGUGAAAUUCGUAGAUAUUCGGAGGAACACCAGUGGCGAAGGCGGCUCACUGGACCAUUACUGACGCUGAGGUGCGAAAGCGUGGGGAGCAAACAGGAUUAGAUACCCCCGUAGUCCCUGUCUCUUAUAC